UACAGAGGUCUCAAGCGUUGUUCGGAUUCAUUGGGCGUAAAGGGUGCGUAGGCGGCGCGGUAAGUCGGAUGUGAAAUCUCGGAGCUUAACUUCGAAACUGCAUUCGAUACUGCCGUGCUUGAGGACUGGAGAGGAGACUGGAAUUUACGGUGUAGCGGUGAAAUGCGUAGAGAUCAUGAGGAAGACCAGUGGCGAAGGCGGGUCUCUGGACAGUUCCUGACACUGAGGCACGAAGGCCAGGGGAGCAAACGGG
rnacentral:rRNA from 1 species